rnacentral:rRNA from 1 species
AUUGAACGCUGGCGGCAUGCCUUACACAUGCAAGUCGAACGGCAGCACGGGUCCUUGCCCCUGGUGGCGAGUGGCGAACGGGUGAGUAAUACAUCGGAACCUUUCCUUUAGUGGGGAUAGCCCGUCGAAAGCCGGAUUAAUACCCCAUACAAUCUCCGGAUGAAAGCGGGGGACCUUCGGGCCUCGCGCUGUAGGGUUGUCCGAUGGCUGAUUAGCUAGUUGGUGGGGUAAAGGCCUACCAAGGCGACGAUCAGUAGCUGGUCUGAGAGGACGACCAGCCACACUGGGACUGAGACACGGCCCAGACUCCUACGGGAGGCAGCAGUGGGGAAUUUUGGACAAUGGGCGAAAGCCUGAUCCAGCAAUGCCGCGUGUGUGAAGAAGGCCUUCGGGUUGUAAAGCACGUUUGUCCGGAAAGAAAUCCUUGGCCCUAAUACGGUCGGGGGAUGACGGUACCGGAAGAAUAAGCACCGGCUAACUACGUG